rnacentral:tRNA from 1 species
UCCCUGGUGGCUCAGUUGGUAAAGCCUCUGCCUGCAAUGCAGGAGACCCAGGUUCAAUCCCUGGAUCGGGAA